AUUGAACGCUGGCGGCAUGCCUUACACAUGCAAGUCGAACGGCAGCACGGGAGCAAUCCUGGUGGCGAGUGGCGAACGGGUGAGUAAUAUAUCGGAACGUGCCCAGUCGUGGGGAUAACGUAGCGAAAGCUACGCUAAUACCGCAUACGAUCUAUGGAUGAGAGCGGGGGAUCGCAAGACCUCGCGCGAUUGGAGCGGCCGAUAUCAGAUUAGGUAGUUGGUGAGGUAAAGGCUCACCAAGCCGACGAUCUGUAGCUGGUCUGAGAGGACGACCAGCCACACUGGGACUGAGACACGGCCCAGACUCCUACGGGAGGCAGCAGUGGGGAAUUUUGGACAAUGGGNGCAAGCCUGAUCCAGCAAUGCCGCGUGCAGGAUGAAGGCCUGGUU
rnacentral:rRNA from 1 species